rnacentral:rRNA from 1 species
GAUGAACGCUAGCGGCAGGCUUAAUACAUGCAAGUCGAGGGGCAGCACAGGUAGCAAUACUGGGUGGCGACCGGCAAACGGGUGCGGAACACGUACGCAACCUUCCUUUAAGUGGGGGAUAGCCCAGGGAAACUUGGAUUAAUACCCCUUAAUAUUAUUGAGUGGCAUCACUUGAUAAUUAAAGCUCCGGCGCUUAAAGA